GGAGAGAUGGCUCAGUGGUUAAGAGCACUGCUUUUUCAGAGGACCUGGGUUCAAUUCCCAGCACCC
rnacentral:tRNA from 1 species